CCUUAUUCCUUUCCUUAUAUUAUUCAAAAUCCAUACAUAAAUGCCGAAGUUUAAAAUCCAAAUUAUAAUUAAAAUCGAGGUUUAAGAAAUUACAAACCCUUAGCAUUCGGCAUUCGGCAUUAAAACUAUACGUUGGAGAAUGAAAUGACUCGUAAAAGGUUUUCGUAGACCUGUUGUAAACAGAUGGAAUUAACCAGCUAAUUUCUUCAGGACUUCAGGACAAAUAAUAUUAUCGUUUAAAAUUUUAAAAAAUAAAUGACAUAUUUAUGUCUGGAGGAAAGUGAUUGCAUACCUAGUUUCAAAGCAAGUUCCUUUAUUGGACAAAGUAGCCUAAACUUAAAAGAUAAAUAUCUUAAGAACUAAGAUUGUAUACUAUUUAAAUGGUUUAUAAGGCCAAGCUGGGACGGAUUCCAAAUUAUUGACCUAUACUCCAAAUUAGAACGAACGAGAGAGAACAAAAUAGCAUUUUUAAGAUACUCAAUGUUAUUGAAGUCCGAGCAUUGGCGCAAACUAAUAAAUUAGUACAAGUUGUUUUGCAAUUGCGAAAACCAUACUGUUCAUUUAUAAUAACACUAUUAAAUAAAAUAAUUAGUUUAGGCUCUAUUAACUUUUUUAAAAGUUUGGGUAAUGAAUAUAAUUUAGAGAUUGGACGAUAAUUACUUACUGUGUUAAUAUUACCAGACUUAAAUAUGAGUAUUAUAUUAUAUUAUGAAUAGAAUUCGUUUUGAAACCGCUGAGUUACAAAUAAAAAUAUACUCAAGUUAUUAUUAUUUUUCUUAACUUCGUAAACAAAGAUAAAAUUGCAUUAUAUCAUAACGAUGGGAAUAUAAACGCAAACUUGUUGAAUCAGUUUUAGUGAUUCUCAACCUUCUUUUUUUGCUUAUGCAGUUCUAAAAAAAAUUGGGGCACCUUUAACACUACAUCAUAAGUAUAAUAACUUCAAUUUUAUUAUUGAGUAAAUCGAAUACUGUUCUAAUUCUACUUUCGUUUAUUAAUAGUUAAAAUGACAUUUUUAAAUAUUCAUGCAACAUAAAAACUAAACAUAAUAUUUCGUCGUUGUCCUGUAAAAAGCAACGUUUUGGAAGCAUGUAUUUUUACCUUUAUCUUUGAAAAUGACAGUCCAAAAAUCUCCAAACCCAUUAUAAGAUUAAUGUAGCACUGACCCAACCUAAAAUAACCGAAUUUUCUAGUAAUUUUAACUCUUGAUUCCACAUCAGGUUUAACUGGAAAGACUAGAUAGUUAUAGAAUGUGACUAACUUCGGGGAUUAUUUUCUAUUGGCUGAUACCUUUUUAAUUAUAAUUAAUACGAAUGCUGCAAAACUACAUUUUUUUUUUAAACGUAAUAA